rnacentral:rRNA from 1 species
CUCCUGGAAAACGGGUGGUAAUGCCGGAUGCUCCGACUCCUCGCAUGGGGUGUCGGGAAAGAUUUCAUCGGUAUGGGAUGGGGUCGCGUCCUAUCAGGUAGUCGGCGGGGUAACGGCCCACCGAGCCUACGACGGGUAGCCGGCCUGAGAGGGCGACCGGCCACAUUGGGACUGAGAUACGGCCCAGACUCCUACGGGAGGCAGCAGUGGGGAAUAUUGCACAAUGGGCGCAAGCCUGAUGCAGCGACGCCGCGUGCGGGAUGACGGCCUUCGGGUUGUAAACCGCUUUUGAUCGGGAGCAAGCCUUCGGGUGAGUGUACCUUUCGAAUAAGCACCGGCUAACUACGUGCCAGCAGCCGCGGUAAUACGUAGGGUGCAAGCGUUAUCCGGAAUUAUUGGGCGUAAAGGGCUCGUAGGCGGUUCGUCGCGUCCGGUGUGAAAGUCCAUCGCUUAACGGUGGAUCUGCGCCGGGUACGGGCGGGCUGGAGUGCGGUAGGGGAGACUGGAAUUCCCGGUGUAACGGUGGAAUGUGUAGAUAUCGGGAAGAACACCA